rnacentral:rRNA from 1 species
AGCGAACGCUGGCGGCAGGCUUAACACAUGCAAGUCGAGCGCUCGUAGCAAUACGAGAGCGGCAGACGGGAGAGUAACACGUGGGAACGUACCCUUUGGUUCGGAACAACACAGGGAAACUUGUGCUAAUACCGAAUAAGCCCUUACGGGGAAAGAUUUAUCGCCAAAGGAGUCGGCCCGCGUCUGAUUAGCUAGUUGGGUGGGGUAAUGGCCCCACCAAGGCGACGAUCAGUAGCUGGCUGAGAGGAUGACCAGCCUCAUUGGGACUGAGACACGGCCCAAACUCCUACGGGAGGCAGCAGUGGGGAAUAUUGGACAAUGGGCGCAAGCCUGGUCCAGCCAUGCCGCGUGGAUGAUGAAGGCCUUAGGGUUNU